rnacentral:misc_RNA from 1 species
CUUCUCAAGCGUUUCCAGAAUGAUAUUGGGGAGCUGGGAGCCGAGGAGAGCAAGAACUUCAAUGACCGAAAUGUAUAUAUCAUUUUGAUGCCGAAUAAAGCCGUUAUUCAGAAAUCUCAGGAACGAACGAAGAAAAAGGCAGCACCAGGAGUAGAAAUUUCUAUAUAAACUGAGUUAUAUAGUUCUGGCGGCAGGGUGAACUCGAUACAUGAGGAG